CUAACAUCGUUUUCAGCUAUGUGGAUCUGUAUUAUGAGCUUAUACACAAAUGACCAUACAAAAGUGAAUCCAACAAUUAUUUACUGAAAUAAAAAAAAAACAGGUGGCAUAAUAAAACAAACUCAUCCAUGCAUUUAUUAAAACCUGACAGCUGAAGGUUCAGUUUUGAGACUUCAAGCAAUGUGAUGCCAAUUCGGUGGACCAUUUGAAACAAUUCAUCAGGUCAUAAAAUUGUGCAACUAUACAAUAAGCCAACAAUACACGGACCCUGGAGAACUGCUGGCAGAGGAAAAACCCUUUCUAGUUACAUCCUAAGACUAAUGAGGUACAUACACAAUUCUAGUAGCUGUAAACUGACAAUUGAAUUAAUGCAGGAUUUCAGAAAUACCAUACAGUUCAACUGCAUUUAAUAACAAUAUAAAAUGAAACUUUAGGAAGCAAUGAAUUUGGAUUCCUUAAGUACUGAUAUGAACUUGCAUGUACAAAAUCAAAGGUGACAUUGGGCCAUUAGCAAAACUCUUUAUUUCAGAAGUAUAAACAAAUUUGACAUCAAUUUUAGACUCAUUGAAAUAAGUACCAUCAUCAAAAUAAGAAAAAAACAAAAUUAUUAAAAAUGAACUACACUUAGGGUACACUAAAGAGUAUAACUUGAGCAGAGGUUAGAAAGCAAAGACGCCGCAGGGAAUUGAACCCCAUCCUGAGAAUCAGGAGUGCCUCCACCGGAGUCUUUUGCUUUUUUUCUUAUGAGGUUAAAAAAGCAAAACCUGAAGGAACAAUCCUAAGAUUAUUCCCUCAGGAAAAGAAAAACCUCAAACCUGCUGCUCUACAAUACUCGGGUCUUCUACGGCUCUUCUUCUUUACCCUGAAACUACACAAAGAAUGCAGGUAUCGCCCCCAAUCCCCGGAUAAACUCUUCAAAACAUCCAAAAUGCCAUUGCUACUAUUGAAGUAACUCAUUUUCAUAUGCUUCUACUUGGAAGAUCAAAUCUCUGACCAGCGAGGUCUUGAACAAGGCUGCACUUGCAUUCAGGUGUGACUUGUUCCCAUUUAAAAGCUGAAACACAAAGAGAAGAGUUUAGAGCCCCCCACCCCGCCCAACCCAAAAGUGUCAUAACCAAUGUAAUUCAAACGUCAAUUACCACCAAACAAUGGUCCAGGUCUCGAAAUCCCGCCAACAUGGCCAGAACAAAAUCCUGCCUUUGUGAAUCACCAUUCCUGUAACUAGACAGAUGCUCGCAGGGUUUUUCCGUUCCCCCCCACAGACUCCCCGAACUAUUUUCAUUUUUCAUAAUCUUUAAAAAGGCAAAAGUACACUAAAAAAAAAUAAACUUAUCUCCAGCCAGUGACGCUUUACACCCAAUUCUUCAGAGUAAAGUUUUAGCAAGUCUACAGCUGCAAUG